rnacentral:rRNA from 1 species
GUGCCUAACACAUGCAAGUCGAACGAGAAACUCCGGGCUUGCUCGGAGAAGUACAGUGGCGCACGGGUGAGUAACGCGUGGGUAACCUACCCUUGAAUCUGGGAUAACCCCGCGAAAGCGGGACUAAUACCGGAUAUGGUUCCAUAAGCCUUGGCUCUUGGAAUUAAAGGUGACCUCUUCAUGAAAGUUGCCGUUCAGGGACGGGCUCGCGUACCAUUAGCUUGUUGGUAGGGUAAUGGCCUACCAAGGCUACGAUGGUUAGCUGGUCUGAGAGGAUGAUCAGUCACACUGGAACUGGAACACGGUCCAGACUCCUACGGGAGGCAGCAGUGAGGAAUUUUGCGCAAUGGGGGAAACCCUGACGCAGCAACGCCGCGUGAGCGAAGAAGGCCUUCGGGUCGUAAAGCUCUGUCAAGUGGGAAAAAAGCCUUUCGGUUAAUAUCCGGGAGGUGUGAUGGUACCACUGGAGGAAGCACCGGCUAACUCCGUGCCAGCAGCCGCGGUAAUACGGAGGGUGCAAGCGUUGUUCGGAAUUACUGGGCGUAAAGGGCGUGCAGGCGGUUUGGUAAGUCAGAUGUGAAAGCCCUGGGCUUAACCCGGGAAGCGCAUUUGAAACUGCCUUUCUUGAGUAUGGGAGAGGAGAGUGGAAUUCCCAGUGUAGAGGUGAAAUUCGUAGAUAUUGGGAGGAACACCCGUGGCGAAGGCGACUCUCUGGACCAAUGCUGACGCUGAGACGCGAAAGCGUGGGGAGCAAACAGGAUUAGA